rnacentral:rRNA from 1 species
GAUGAACGCUGGCGGCAGGCUUAACACAUGCAAGUCGAACGCAUCGCAAGAUGAGUGGCAGACGGGUGAGUAACGCGUGGGAACAUACCCUUUUCUACGGAAUAGCUCUGGGAAACUGGAAUUAAUACCGUAUACGCCCUACGGGGGAAAGAUUUAUCGGGGAAGGAUUGGCCCGCGUUGGAUUAGCUAGUUGGUGGGGUAAAGGCCUACCAAGGCGACGAUCCAUAGCUGGUCUGAGAGGAUGAUCAGCCACAUUGGGACUGAGACACGGCCCAGACUGCUACGGGAGGCAGCAGUGGGGAAUAUUGGACAAUGGGCGAAAGCCUGAUCCAGCCAUGCCGCGUGAGUGAUGAAGGCCUUAGGAUUGUAAAGCUCUUUCACCGAUGAAGAUAAUGACGGUAGUCGGAGAAGAAGCCCCGGCUAACUUCGUGCCAGCCGCCGCGGUAACAC